rnacentral:tRNA from 1 species
GGUUUGAUAGCUGAGAUGGAUUAGCAUCAGUUUGAAGCACUGAGGAGGUUGGCUCGAUUCCAACUCAAACCAC